rnacentral:lncRNA from 1 species
GAGUGCUGGUGUCUCUGGCAAAGAGAUGGGGCACAGAGUGAAGGGGGCUGGGUGGAACUGAGAGACAAGAUGGCUUAUUUCUGCCACCCUGGGGGAAAGUCUCUUGCUGGCUGGGACCUCGGUGCGCUUUCAGGGCUUAGGACUUCCUCUGGCUGUGAUCCUGGCCUUGUCCCGUCCUCAUAACCACAGUGGCUGUCCCCAGAGCUCAUGACAUUUGAUCUUCAACCCAAGGACAGCCCAUGCUUCCUGUGGUUGCUGUCUUUUGGUUUGUCGGUGCCUCUGUCCCCUGUUGGGCUCCUUGGAGGGAGCUUGCUUGCAAGCAGACGGAUGGAAGCCCACCUGACCUGUCUAGCUGUGGCCACUUCCUCCUUCCCAGCUCAGCCUUUGCUGUGAGAGCUCGGAGUGAAUGCCUUUGAGACCAAACAACAGGAAACCACGAAGCAGGGGUACAUUGGAGGUGUGAGGCCAGGAACAGGAGCACACCAGGAUGAAGGAGCACACCAGGAUGAAGGAGCACACCAGGAUGAAGGAGCACACCAGGAUGAAGGAGCACACCAGGAUGAAGGAGCACACCAGGAUGAAGGAGCACACCAGGAUGAAGGAGCACACCAGGAUGAAGGAGCACAGGCCCUACUUGUCAAGCCUGCUGACUUGGGCUGCUCAGGCUUCUGGUCUUUCAGCCCGGACAGGGGGUAACUGUUCUCUGGGGAUGGAGCUGUGAACGAGGCAAGAACUCAGUUCACAACAGAGCCAACAGAACUCAGAGAGGCACGAGGCACCAGCCCAAGUACUGCCUAAGAAAGAGGGAUGGGGACCCAGGUGGUGCCGAGCUGCGGUGGUCCUUCGGGUGCUAUAAACGCUCAGAUCACCCCGUCUCCUGUAACUCCACGUCUGUGCUCCCAAGAGGAAGAGCAUCAAGCUCAGUGCUCCGUGAGGCUGGAUGUGGAUGGAUUCUGUCUGGUCCUCUCCGGCCUGGGGGGACAUCAGAGCACAGGCUGGUGAGCCGGCCCUGUGGGUGAAGACAGUUCACCUACCCGAUGGCCUGAACUGACUUCCACAGGUGUCCUCCGAUCUGACUGCUACCCCUGUGCUCUGUCUGCAUCCUCUCCUGGUAACUAAAACUAUCAUUAAAACCCUUUUAAAAGCUGUCA